rnacentral:rRNA from 1 species
GCCAGACUCCUACGGGAGGCAGCAGUGGGGAAUAUUGGGCAAUGGGCGCAAGCCUGACCCAGCGACGCCGCGUGAGGGAAGACGGUCUUCGGAUUGUAAACCUCUUUCAGCAGGGAAGACAAAAGGACGGUACCUGCAGAAGAAGCCACGGCUAACUACGUGCCAGCAGCCGCGGUAAUACGUAGGUGGCAAGCGUUAUCCGGAAUUACUGGGUGUAAAGGGUGUGUAGGCGGGGCUGCAAGUCGGGUGUCAAAUCUACCGGCUCAACCGGUAGCCGCACUCAAAACUGCAGUUCUUGAGUGAAGUAGAGGCAGGCGGAAUUCCUAGUGUAGCGGUGAAAUGCGUAGAGAUCGGGAGGAACACCAGUGGCGAAGGCGGCCUACUGGGCUUUAACUGACGCUGAAGCACGAAAGCGUGGGUAGCAAACAGGAUUAGAUACCCGUGUAC